ensembl:misc_RNA Metazoa_SRP Metazoan signal recognition particle RNA
GCUGGGCAUGGUGGCGCGUGCCUGUAGUCCCAGCUACUCGGGAGGCUGAGGCAGGAGAAUCACCUGAACCCGGGAGGUGGAGGUUGCAGUGAGCAGAGAUUGCACCACUGCACUCCAGCCUGGGUAACAGAGUGAGACUUUGUCUCAA